AACAUGGGAGAGAACAAAUAUGCUCGUCUCCACUUGAGGGGAUUGCUAUAGGGUUGUUGUUGUUUUUUUUUUGGGGGGGGGGGGUUGGGGGGGGGGGGUUGUAUUUACAGAGUUAUCUCCUAGUAUUCUAACACAAAAUAGAAUAUUUAGCAACAAAGAGACUACUGAUCAAGUAAAAAUAUUUUUUAUUUAAUUUUUUGAUUAAAGCAAAAGUCAGUUACCUUGCUGUUUUUUUUUUUUACGGUGUUCUAUUUUCACUCACUGUGGUUGGCCCCUCCCUCAACUGGUGUCUCUUCCUGUUAAAAGGGAGGUUUUUUUCUUUGCACCGUUGCAAAUUCUCUAGGCAUACCGGGGUUUGGGACUUCUUUCUAAGAUUGUACGGUCAUUACCACGCAAAGGUGGGAGAAUUAGAAAAAACUGACAACUAUCAUUAACAUACCAACUUUCAGCAUAAGAAGAUAAGAGAUGGCACAGAUGGAUCAGUGCAGGUUUGGUACAAACAUGGAGAAGAUGGUGUGGAUAAUUUUUAUCUCCAGCCUGAACUUCUCUCAGGUGUCUACCCAAAGAACCGAUGGUGCCAGUGAACAUGAAGGAAGAUCAGCAUCAGACAUCCUGAAAAUUGUACUCCAGUUACUACUGGGUCCUUUUUUGGUAUAUAUGAUAUAUUCCCUAUGGAGACAUCAGGCACGCUUGCGUCAUCAACAGCAACAUCGCCAGCAUUAGUUUCCAUGAGGAGCAGAAGGAUCAGUAACACACGUUCAUCAAUCUGUGUAUUGACUUGACAGAAAUUUAAGGAAACCGCUGCUUAAGCUGUUGAAUAAAUAUCAGUUUGACAACAGCUUGUAGAAAUCCAUAGUUACAUUUUAGCAGUUCAUUUAUAUUUUCUAUUAAUUUUCAUCUGCAUCUAAUCUUGUUAUAAAGCCAUCAUGAGUUCAUGUAAAGUCUGUGGUUGCAGCAUUAAACAUGUUUCUACUCUUCUGGUGUUUUGUUUUUUUUAACUUUUUAUUUUAUUUAUUUAAACAACCCACCUGUCUAAUACACAUACAGUUUCUUCAGACUAACAGAAUACUAAGAGAGUCCCAAACUUAAGGGAAAAAAAUGCAGAGAAAUUAGAAAGAAAAAGGAACAAACAAUAUAUAUAUAUAUGUCUGUGUGUAUAAAAAUAUAAAUACAUAUAUAAUAAUGUAUGUAUGCGGCGCCAUCUUGGAACUUAGACUGACUUAGACUGAUAUUUC
ensembl:lncRNA